rnacentral:rRNA from 1 species
GGUGAACGCUGGCGGUAGGCCUAACACAUGCAAGUCGAACGGCAGCACAGUAAGAGCUUGCUCUUACGGGUGGCGAGUGGCGGACGGGUGAGGAAUACAUCGGAAUCUACUUUUUCGUGGGGGAUAACGUAGGGAAACUUACGCUAAUACCGCAUACGACCUACGGGUGAAAGUAGGGGAUCUUCGGACCUUGCGCGAUUGAAUGAGCCGAUGUCGGAUUAGCUAGUUGGCGGGGUAAAGGCCCACCAAGGCGACGAUCCGUAGCUGGUCUGAGAGGAUGAUCAGCCACACUGGAACUGAGACACGGUCCAGACUCCUACGGGAGGCAGCAGUGGGGAAUAUUGGACAAUGGGCGCAAGCCUGAUCCAGCCAUACCGCGUGUGUGAAGAAGGCCUUCGGGUUGUAAAGCCCUUUUGUUGGGAAAGAAAAGCAGCAGGUUAAUACCCCGCUGUUCUGACGGUACCCAAAGAAUAAGCACCGGCUAACUUCGUG